rnacentral:rRNA from 2 species
UCCAGGCAAAUCCGGAUAAUCAAGGCUGAGGUGUGAUGACGAGGCACUACGGUGCUGAAGUAACAAAUGCCCUGCUUCCAGGAAAAGCCUCUAAGCAUCAGGUAACAUCAAAUCGUACCCCAAACCGACACAGGUGGUCAGGUAGAGAAUACCAAGGCGCUUGAGAGAACUCGGGUGAAGGAACUAGGCAAAAUGGUGCCGUAACUUCGGGAGAAGGCACGCUGGUGUGUAGGUGAAGCCCCUGCGGGUGGAGCUGAGACCAGUCGAAGAUACCAGCUGGCUGCAACUGUUUAUUAAAAACACAGCACUGUGCAAACACGAAAGUGGACGUAUACGGUGUGACGCCUGCCCGGUGCCGGAAGGUUAAUUGAUGGGGUUAUCCGUAAGGAGAAGCUCUUGAUCGAAGCCCCGGUAAACGGCGGCCGUAACUAUAACGGUCCUAAGGUAGCGAAAUUCCUUGUCGGGUAAGUUCCGACCUGCACGAAUGGCGUAAUGAUGGCCAGGCUGUCUCCACCCGAGACUCAGUGAAAUUGAACUCGCUGUGAAGAUGCAGUGUACCCGCGGCAAGACGGAAAGACCCCGUGAACCUUUACUAUAGCUUGACACUGAACAUUGAGCCUUGAUGUGUAGGAUAGGUGGGAGGCUUUGAAGCGUGGACGCCAGUCUGCGUGGAGCCAACCUUGAAAUACCACCCUUUAAUGUUUGAUGUUCUAACGUUGGCCCCUGACCGGGGUUGCGGACAGUGUCUGGUGGGUAGUUUGACUGGGGCGGUCUCCUCCCAAAGCGUAACGGAGGAGCACGAAGGUUAGCUAAUCCUGGUCGGACAUCAGGAGGUUAGUGCAAUGGCAUAAGCUAGCUUGACUGCGAGCGUGACGGCGCGAGCAGGUGCGAAAGCAGGUCAUAGUGAUCCGGUGGUUCUGAAUGGAAGGGCCAUCGCUCAACGGAUAAAAGGUACUCCGGGGAUAACAGGCUGAUACCGCCCAAGAGUUCAUAUCGACGGCGGUGUUUGGCACCUCGAUGUCGGCUCAUCACAUCCUGGGGCUGAAGUAGGUCCCAAGGGUAUGGCUGUUCGCCAUUUAAAGUGGUACGCGAGCUGGGUUUAGAACGUCGUGAGACAGUUCGGUCCCUAUCUGCCGUGGGCGCUGGAGAAUUGAGGGGGGCUGCUCCUAGUACGAGAGGACCGGAGUGGACGCAUCACUGGUGUUCGGGUUGUCAUGCCAAUGGCACUGCCCGGUAGCUAAAUGCGGAAGAGAUAAGUGCUGAAAGCAUCUAAGCACGAAACUUGCCCCGAGAUGAGUUCUCCCUGAGACUUUAAGUCUCCUGAAGGAACGUUGAAGACGACGACGUUGAUAGGCCGGGUGUGUAAGCGCAGCGAUGCGUUGAGCUAACCGGUACUAAUGAACCGUGAGGCUUAACCUUACAACGCCGAAG